rnacentral:rRNA from 1 species
CCAGACUCCUACGGGAGGCAGCAGUGGGGAAUAUUGGGCAAUGGGCGCAAGCCUGACCCAGCAACGCCGCGUGAAGGAAGAAGGCUUUCGGGUUGUAAACUUCUUUUAAGAGGGAAGAGAAGAAGACGGUACCUCUUGAAUAAGCCACGGCUAACUACGUGCCAGCAGCCGCGGUAAUACGUAGGUGGCAAGCGUUGUCCGGAUUUACUGGGUGUAAAGGGCGUGCAGCCGGGCUGACAAGUCAGAUGUGAAAUCCCGUCGCUCAACCGCGGAACUGCAUUUGAAACUGGCAGUCUUGAGUGCCGGAGAGGUGAUCGGAAUUCCUUGUGUAGCGGUGAAAUGCGUAGAUAUAAGGAGGAACACCAGUGGCGAAGGCGGAUGACUGGACGGUAACUGACGGUGAGGCGCGAAAGCGUGGGGAGCAAACAGGAUUAGAUACCCCCGUACUA